rnacentral:rRNA from 1 species
UACGUAGGGUGCAAGCGUUGUCCGGAAUUAUUGGGCGUAAAGAGCUCGUAGGCGGUUUGUCGCGUCGAAUGUGAAAACCCGGGGCUCAACCCCGGGCCUGCAUUCGAUACGGGCAGACUAGAGUUCGGUAGGGGAGUCUGGAAUUCCUGGUGUAGCGGUGAAAAUGCGCAGAUAUCAGGAGGAACACCGGUGGCGAAGGCGGGUCUCUGGGCCGAUACUGACGCUGAGGAGCGAAAGCGUGGGGAGCGAACAGG